GCCUCCCUCCGCCGCCACUCACGACCUCCGUACCGGGACGGCGAGCAGUGGGAAGUAGUUGGACAAGUGGGCGGACGUAAGCCUGAUCCGACGCCAUGCCGCGUGAGUGAGUGACGCUAGGUUGUAAGCUCUUUCGUCUCGGGACGAUAAUGACGGUACCGAGAUAAGAAGCCCGGCUAACUUCGUGCCAGCAGCCGCGGUAAUAC
rnacentral:rRNA from 1 species